GACGAACGCUGGCGGCGUGCUUAACACAUGCAAGUCGAACGAAGUGGCGAACGGGUGAGUAACGCGUAAUCAACCUGCCCUUCAGAGGGGGACAACAGUUGGAAGCGACUGCUAAUACCGCAUACUGACAGAGGGGAUUGCGUCUGAUUGGCUAGUUGGAGGGGUAACGGCCAACCAAGGCGAUGAUCAGUAGCCGGUCUGAGAGGAUGAACGGCCACAUUGGUACGGAGACACGGCCCAGACUCCUACGGGAUGCAGCAGUGGGGAAUCUUCCGCAAUUGACGAAAGUCUGACGGAGCAACGCCGCGUGAGUGAUGACGGCCUUCGGGUUGUAAAGCUCUGUUAAUCGGGACGCGGUACCGGAAUAGAAAGCCACGGCUAACUACGUGCCAGCAGCCGCGGUAAUAC
rnacentral:rRNA from 1 species